AUUGUUAAAAAAAAAAAAAAAAAAAUCAACCAUCUUUUCAAAUACAAAUAUUUUAACCUAUUAAAACAACCAAAAAUUAAAAUACCCUACUAAAAUAACUAACUUUUCAAAUGACGAAUAAUCAAAAGGCAAAAAAAUCAACUAAAAUAAGUUCCCAAAUGAGGCUGAGUUUUCUCACUUCAGUCAACAAAUUCAAGCUUGGAAGGUGAUAUGCUACUUGGAAGACAUUUCAGAGGCAUGCUCUAGACCAUUAUUUGCCAAAUGAAAAUAAAGCAGGUACAAAAGCCUACUAGAAGCAAACAUUUUGAGCAACCAAAUGCCCUCCCAAAAAGUUUACAAAUCAAACAAAAUAACAAUAAGAGUAAUAAAAACAUUCAAAUAUACCACUAAGAAUCAAGUAAGAAGAACCAUGAACCCACAAUCAUAGGAACAAACAACAAAGUCGGUAUUGUCAAAGUUAAUUUUCAUCACAUGCCAUCAUCCUUACAGACAUCAAAAUACAAAUCCUAAUAGAAAUUCUUGAAAUAAAAAUAAACCUAAGCACCUAUUUACUUGCUCCACAUUACCAAAAGCCAAAUUGAUAA